AUACCUUUCUCGGCCUUUUGGCUAAGAUCAAGUGUAGUAUCUGUUCUUAUCAGUUUAAUAUACGAUAGUCGAAAUUUCGACUCACAUGAUAUUAACUUAAUUUUUUAAGGGAGAAGGUCCACUACGGUAGCUUGCUAUCGGGGCCUUUACGUGUCGCCUUGGUGUUGCACUACUGCCUUGGCUUGGCGCACCCCAC